UUAAGUCAAUCACGAAUACAGAAGCGAUGAUGUUGAUGUUGAUCGCGGCAGUGUUCGUGCAUGUCUUCCUGGCCAACGGGCUUGCAAAAUCAGUUUCUCGAGUGCAUGACAAUGUGUCGGCUAUGGAGCAACUUAUGGCCAUGGUGCCUGAAAGGACAACCGAUAACCUCCCUUGGAAGGAAAUAUACCAACAACAACAAAAGCAAUUGAAACUUCUUGAAAAACGCAUAGAACGAAUAGAACAACGCGAUGGACCAUACGGUUAUGGCACUACUGUCAAAGUGAAUACAUCGGAAGUCGGUGCUGGCUGGCCCCAAUGAGCGGAAUCUACUUGUUUUCGGUUACUCUGGCAACGCAAGGGUAUACUUACGCUUGUUCAUACCGAGGGGGAGAUUGCGAGGAUCUACAGUUAUCAAUCAUACUCAUCGGGCACCAUUACUGUCGUCGUCCGCCUAACUGUACAUGAACACGUGUGGGUUGAGAACAAGGUUCAUAGCGGGCGCUAUGUGUUUGGUGAGCUGUACAGCGCGUUUACUGGCAUUCUGCUGGCUUAGAACUGGUACAGAAAGAUAACACAACUAAGGACAAGUUUUCAUAAAGCAAUCUUUACUUCUAUACAAGAUGAAAUAUUUCUGUUCCUUCAGUGGUACCAUAUAUACAUCUUUAAACGUACCGAGGGAAUUUUAUCAAUUCAAAAGAUGUAUAGUCAAUCGAUGCGUGAUAUGUUUUGUCAAUGCUCUUUUCUUCAAAAAUGCUAUGAAAAAUUGGUGCUGUAUGGUCAAUCAAUGCAUUAUAGGUUUUGUCAAUGCUCUUUUCUUCAAAAAUGCUAUGAACAAUUGAUGAUGUAUGGUCAAUCAAUGCAUUUUAUGUUUUGUCGAUGCUCUUUUCUUCAAAAAUGCUAUGAAAAAUUGUGACUGCCUAUCACUUGAGUACAAAAUGUGUAUGCUACUUGUACAUCUCGUUACCGGUCUAGAGAUAACCGGUGUUCAUAAAGCUAUGUGUACCUUUCUCAAUAGCUCAGUUUUCAACAUAAAAGAAACAUUUACGCGUGUGAUCUUAAAUUUAAAAAUCAACAUAUACAGAACAAAUGUUUUUAAAGAUUAAAAUAUAUAUUUUAAUGUGCCUAAGUUUCCCCGAGGGCGCUUUGUGACAACAAAACUGCUUUUGGUUUGAUGAUAGCUUUCAUAACGCAUCUACUACAUUUAUGUAUUUAACUAUGCAUAUAGGAUACAUAACUUCAGUUAUAUAGUCAAGCUAUACCUUUCUUGGCAAGUUGUAAAAUCGUUGUAAGUAAAAUGUUCACGAAGUAACCCUAUGCGCAUCCGCAUUAUCUAGUCCUGUAUAACGUUUUAUUGUUGAACAAUGCUCGAAGAAGCGCAUGCUUUUCGUUGUUGUGAUUAAAAAUGCUACAUCAAAAACA